rnacentral:misc_RNA from 1 species
UACGAAGGGGGCUAGCGUUGUUCGGAAUUACUGGGCGUAAAGCGCGCGUAGGCGGUGUUCCUUGUCAGGGGUGAAAUCCCGGGGCUCAACUCCGGAAUUGCCUUUGAAACGGGGACGCUCGAGUCCGCGAGAGGGUGGCGGUAUACCUAGUGUAGAGGUGAAAUUCGUAGAUAUUAGGAAGAACACCGGUGGCGAAGGCGGCCACCUGGCUCGGUACUGACGCUCAGGCGCGAAAGCGUGGGGAGCAAACAGG